AUGCUCGCGAGCAGCUGAUGAGCAUUGUAAGCACCAAAUAAUCGACUGUGAUUGGUCAAUUUCUUUACUCUGUACAUUAUAGAUGACUCAUAAUGUCGCGUGUAAAUAAGUAUCUGCGUAGAACGUAUUGGAGAGAACCAUUGCUGUGAUAACCAUGAACUGAGGCUAUCGGCAGCCAGAAUGAUAAGAGAUGUAUCUUGCAUGCAAUCGAAGCAUUCAAGGCUUUUGGACGUCACAGUUCUGAAAAGAUCGAUAUUUUGCAACAAAAAUUAUUCAUCGCAGGGAGCGUAAAUUCUAAGGGAAACACUGAAAAGAUUUGAGCAGAAAGUGCUGGAUUCUGACGAACAAAACUUAAAAAUUAUAUAUAAGACGCACAGAUGUUUAAAAUAUAAAAAAAGCUACUAUAAACUGUUGUUCUUAAAAAUAAAAUUUUUGAGUAAGGUAAAGUAUAUGCCUAUUUGGAAGAAUCAUUUUAAACAUUAAAUGAACACGUUCGAAAUUGAAGAGAAAUUAUGCUUGGCAGAAACAACUCUUACGUUAGUAAGACAAUUAAGGGAUUUAGUUAUAAUCUGAUUGCAAAAGUAGAUGAAAGAUCUAUGACUUCCUUAUAUAAGUAACAUAUUUGCCAGUCUCAGCGGUAUAUGUAUCCUGGGAUCAUUGCCAAAAACAAGUGAGAUAAAAAAGAAAUUUUUUGUAAGUCAAUUUCAAAAUAAAUUAAUUAAAUUGGCGGGUCGAUUUUAAUUAGUAGUGCGAUGUUGAUGAAUUAUAUGUUGUCGCAAUUUGAUGUCAAAUAAUAUCAGUUUGCUACUUGGAUACAUUGUCUAAAAUUAUUUUUGUAGCCAUUUUACUCAGUUUAAGAAAUUAAAUUGGAGUUAUUUUAGAUUUCGAUAUUAGUGAAGCCAAUAAAAAAAACUUACUAAAACUGGUAUAUUUAGAAUUAGUUAAUCGACAACUUUUUGAGGUUUCAGACGAGAGAUAUAACCAGAAGGAUCAAAUUCGAUUGUUUUGAAUAGAAUUAUGCGUCGGAAAUUAUGGGAAUUAUUGGGAAUUGCUUGCAUCUUCUUAUUCGCUCCGCUUAUUGUGAUUACUUUAAUUCUUUUAUACAUCUAUCGUCAUUUUAUCAAAAUUGUAUUAAAAAUCCAGUUAAGGAAUAAGUUCGCUGGUCUCUUGAAAGGCACAGAUUGUGUAUGGGCCGUUGAAGAUGCCGUUUCUUUAUCUGUUAUCAACAUCUUGAUGAUACUGGAAAAGAUCGUGGGGAACUCAAACGAAAUUUUCUUGAAGGAUUUCAGGAAUUUGAUAAAUGAUCGCAUUGUUAAGGCUGCUGAUUCGACGAUUGAGAAACUGUUCUAUCUUCGAAGUCAAAGGUUCGGCUAUUAUUUUUGGGAAAGAAGCGAGAAAGUAGAUCUGAAAGAUAGAAUCAGAUGGCUGGAAUGUGUGAACGAUAAUUGUGAUGGGUCCUGCGAAAAUGUUUCCAGUGAAUCAUUCAGAAAGACUUUGGAAAUUGUAUGCAAUAAACCAUUGCCCGAUAAUCACAAAGCUGCGUGGGAGAUUCUCAUCGGAAAACGUUGUCCGAAGUCAAGAUCUAAUCUCGAAGAAGGCCGUUUGUCUUCCGAAAAGUACUUUGAUACUGAUACCCGGAAAAUUCCUAUGUUACUUCGCGUUCAUCAUUCUUUAGGCGAUGGAGUAGCCCUUCUGGGCCUGUUACUCAAAACGAUCAUCAAGGAGACUGAGACCAAAGAGACGAAAAUAAAAAUCAAGAAUAUCGUCAAUAUCUCAUCAAGCGAGACUGGAAAACGUUUCAAAGAAAUCAUUCCAGCAUUGCGAAAUUCGGAAAGGAAUUUUCAGAACGAGGUGGAUGUUGUGCGAUUCUAUGAAAAGAAUAUCCUUGCCGCAUCGAUGUCAUUUACUUACGUAACGUUCUUACGAUUAAUGCAAGAUUUACGAGAUCAUUUUCAUGCAUCAAUGAAAUUUUCUAAUAACAUAACGAUUGUGUCACUGAAACAGCAAGCGAAAAUAUCGAUCGAUCGUACAUGGUUGAAUUUCAAAGAUGUACUGAAACAAAUGUGUGGUACAAUUAAAGAUAUCACGCGGCUAAUGAUGAUUUUGCUUUCUUUUCCGAAAUUCAUCAUUCGACAAGCUGUCCGUAAGAUGGAUGAAAACGCUUUGCAUGGUCCUCAACCUCAAACGGGUAAAAAAAUAAUGUCCUAUUGGUUAGAUAACGAUGUGGUAAAUAAUAAAUCGCAGAAUCUUUUGACGAAAAUUCGCGAGAUAAGAAGAAAUACAGAUGCCAAAUUUGAAGAUGUAGUAUUGGCAGCUUUUUCUGCUAGUGUACACAAAUAUCAUUUACGCCUCAAGAAACCAAUUCCCGAUGCAUUAACAGUUAUCUUGCCGAUAAGAAUGUCAAUGCCUGAUGAAAAUUUAACGUUAGAUAAUAGGUUUUCGAUCGCUCUGUUGCGAAUUUGUAUCUCUAAUGCAAACGGACAGACAAUCAUCGAGCCAAAUCGAGAUUCUCAAUUUUUUAAGCGUCUUCAAGAUAUUACAAGAACAAAUAAUAAGCUCAGAAAGAGUUCAGACAUCUUGCUCAAUUUUUGGAUCAUGAAGUAUCUAUCGGCGCUGUUACCGGGAAAAAUUUUAAAGGCUUUUCUUUUAAGUCACAACACGAUGGUGUUUAGCAAUAUGUGCGGGCCAGAAAAAAUUCAUAUUUUAAAUAAUUUCUUGAGCAAUAUUAUCUUCUGGAUACCAAACAAAAGUACUACUGCUCUCGGCUUUUCUCUGUUAAGUUAUGGAGGCAACUUAAAUCUGUCUUUAAUAGCUGAUAAAUCAAUUGUAAAGGAUGAGAGAUCUCUUGAUGAACUUUUAGAAAAUACUAUACAUGAAAUAAAUAUUGCUUAUAAUCAUAUUAUAUUGACACACUUUUUAAAACCAUCAAAUCUUCCGAUAGAAACAUCCGUGGAAAAUGGUGGUCCUUGAUUGCGUGGUAUGCGUGACUGCACGUGUAUAAUACACACGCGCUUGUGGAAUGCGUGAGAGUAGGGUCUCACAGCUGUCGACUCGUGUGGCUGCGGUCGCCAGCGUGUGUCAAAUACCACAGACGAGUUGAAGAUAGAAGCGCAAAGGGUGGCAAGUAUUUAAGAGGAGAGAGAAGGGUAGGCCGGUGGACCCGAGAGGCAUAUGCGUGCGGCUUAAAGGAAAGGCCCGUUGUGCGGGCGAGGUGGGAGGAAGGGAAAGUGGAGGAGGAGGAGGUUGAGAAGCAGCUGCCAAGCGGCAAAACGAGAAACAGGAAUGAAGCAGCUGGCCGCCCCGUGCAAGGCGCAGGUGCACCGACCAUACAUCCCUCUUUCUUCUUCCUGCCGUAAAUACUAAAUGGUAGCGGCAGCCGUUAUCUACAUGGACGCCCGUUGUCCGCGCGCGAGCAGCCGCAUGCCGAGCCCUUCGGCGUGUAUACGCAUACCGCGAAAUCGAUCUUGAAUUAUUGUGAGCGAAAAAAAAUCGGCCACAGUCAUUGAGCGGCACGCGCACAUCUAGGAAUUCCAGAUCUAAAUAUCGUCAAUGAUGGUAUUGAAGAACAUACGUAAUAUAAGUUUUUAUACGUAGGACACAUCAUUCAUCUAGAUUUUAUAUAUAGAUGUGCGGAGAAAGAGGAGAGAACUCUAAUUCUAGCAACAUUUAAUUUUAUCUCAAACAUUUAACGACUUUAUUUUAACUGAAUAUACAGUUAAAAUAAAAUACUCGAAAAACUAAUAAAUUUAUACUUUGAUAUAAAUUUUAUUUCAUGGAA